rnacentral:rRNA from 1 species
AUGCCUCCUUUGCACUGGCUCGCCGAUCAGGACAGAUGUUGGACCGCCAACCGCUUGGCACGCCAAGGACUGCAACACCACACCUGAUGCCUCCUUUGCUGCCAGAGCACCGAGAUGAUGAACCACCUGCUGCUCCGCUGUCCAUUCUCUCGACAAGUUUGGCAUGAAAUUAUUGCCUGGCUUCGCAUGCCUUGCGCGCCGCCAAACCAUGAAUCUUCCAUCAUGGAAUGGUGGCACGCUGCUAAACAGUGCACCCCGCAGCCCAUGCGCAAGGGCCUCGCCUCUGUCGUCGCUGGCCAGAGAGAGAGAGAGAGAGAGAGAGAGACGAACACGAUGAGACGGUGGUUUUUGUGCUGCGGUAACUAUGCAGUGUUUUCUGCUCUUUCCCUUUAUCUCCUUCUGAUACAAAACUGA